rnacentral:rRNA from 1 species
AACGAACGCUGGCGGCAGGCCUAACACAUGCAAGUCGAACGGGUCCUUCGGGACUAGUGGCGGACGGGUGAGUAACGCGUGGGAACGUGCCCUUUGGUUCGGAAUAGCCCUGGGAAACUGGGAGUAAUACCGGAUGAGCCCUACGGGGGAAAGAUUUAUCGCCAAAGGAUCGGCCCGCGUUGGAUUAGGUAGUUGGUGGGGUAAUGGCCUACCAAGCCGACGAUCCAUAGCUGGUUUGAGAGGAUGAUCAGCCACACUGGGACUGAGACACGGCCCAGACUCCUACGGGAGGCAGCAGUGGGGAAUCUUAGACAAUGGGGGAAACCCUGAUCUAGCCAUGCCGCGUGAUCGAUGAAGGCCUUAGGGUUGUAAAGAUCUUUCAGUGGGGAAGAUAAUGACGGUACCCACAGAAGAAGCCCCGGCUAACUCCGUGCCAGCAGCCGCCGUAAGAC